rnacentral:rRNA from 1 species
CUACCCCAAAGUGUGGAAUAACAGUUCGAAAGGAUUGCUAAUACCGCAUGUGGUCAUUGGAUUUAGAAACCGAUGUCUAAAGGAGUAAUCCGCUUUGGGAGGGACCUGCGUCCCAUCAGCUAGUUGGUGAGGUAACGGCUCACCAAGGCGACGACGGGUAGGGGACCUGAGAGGGUGACCCCCCACAAUGGAACUGAAACACGGUCCAUACACCUACGGGUGGCAGCAGUAGGGAAUAUUGCACAAUGGGCGAAAGCCUGAUGCAGCAACGCCGCGUGCGCGAAGAAGGCCCUCGGGUCGUAAAGCGCUUUUCUGGGAGAUGAGUGAACGCUGGCGGCGUGCCUAACACA